UGGCGGCGGCCUAACACAUGCAAGUCGAACGGUAACAGGAAGAAGCUUGCUUCUUUGCUGACGAGUGGCGGACGGGUGAGUAAUGUCUGGGAAACUGCCUGAUGGAGGGGGAUAACUACUGGAAACGGUAGCUAAUACCGCAUAACGUCGCAAGACCAAAGAGGGGGACCUUCGGGCCUCUUGCCAUCGGAUGUGCCCAGAUGGGAUUAGCUUGUUGGUGGGGUAACGGCUCACCAAGGCGACGAUCCCUAGCUGGUCUGAGAGGAUGACCAGCCACACUGGAACUGAGACACGGUCCAGACUCCUACGGGAGGCAGCAGUGGGGAAUAUUGCACAAUGGGCGCAAGCCUGAUGCAGCCAUGCCGCGUGUAUGAAGAAGGCCUUCGGGUUGUAAAGUACUUUCAGCGGGGAGGAAGGGAGUAAAGUUAAUACCUUUGCUCAUUGACGUUACCCGCAGAAGAAGCACCGGCUAACUCCGUGCCA
rnacentral:rRNA from 1 species